rnacentral:rRNA from 1 species
UACGUAGGAUCCAAGCGUUGUCCGGAUUUACUGGGUGUAAAGGGUGCGCAGGCGGACUUAUAAGUCAGGGGUGAAAUCUCACAGCUCAACUGUGAAACUGCCUUUGAUACUGUAGGUCUUGAAUCAGGGAGAGAGUCGUGGAAUUCCGAGUGUAGCAGUGAAAUGUGUAGAUAUUCGGAAGAACACCAGUGGCGAAGGCAGCGACUUGGCCCUUGAUUGACGCUCAGGCACGAAAGCAUGGGGAUCAAACAGGAUUAGAAUGACCCUAG